UUCGGUUCGUAGUCUUUGUUUACCUCGAAGUGCUGCCAUCUCUUGGUGUCCGUGAGAAGCAACAAUGUCGGCCGUCGGGAGAAAAACACUGUCUCAACUGUACCGCCAGGCAUGGGCCGAAAUUCCCGAAGUCAUGGCAUCCUCUGUCAUGCUGGUUCUCGGCACUGGAUUAUUGGCUGGCUCAGUAAUGCUUUACAACAGUAAGAAAGCUGACAACAAAAGAUACCGUUAUGUAUACACAGUGUAUCGUCCCGAUGAUCCACGUGUGGCAUCCAUCAAGGAGUGAGGGUUGCUUGGCUGCCUGAGUCACUAUUUGUAUAGUUAUAUAUUUAAACCCUGUACACUACAUAUUAUGCCUUUUAAAAUGUAAAAAGAUCCUUCGGAAUUAAAAUCAAAUAAGAGA